rnacentral:snRNA from 1 species
AGAUUACUCUCAAAAUGAUUG